UGCGCAGGUGGUUUGGCAAGUUUGAUGUGAAAGCCCCGGGCUUAACCCGGGAAUGGCAUUGAAUACUGCUGAACUGGAGGAUUGGAGGGGGGACUGGAAUUCUUGGUGUAGCAGUGAAAUGCGUAGAUAUCAAGAGGAACACCAGUGGCGAAGGCGAGUCCCUGGACAAUACCUGACACUGAGGCACGAAAGCUGGGGGAGCAAACA
rnacentral:rRNA from 1 species